GACGAACGCUGGCGGCGUGCUUAACACAUGCAAGUCGAACGGAAAGGCCCUGCUUUUGUGGGGUGCUCGAGUGGCGAACGGGUGAGUAACACGUGAGUAACCUGCCCUUGACUUUGGGAUAACUUCAGGAGACUGGGGCUAAUACCGGAUAGGAGCUCCUGCUGCAUGGUGGGGGUUGGAAAGUUUCGGCGGUUGGGGAUGGACUCGCGGCUUAUCAGCUUGUUGGUGGGGUAGUGGCUUACCAAGGCUUUGACGGGUAGCCGGCGUGAGAGGGUGACAGGCCACAUUGGGACUGAGAUACGGCCCAGACUCCUACGGGAGGCAGCAGUGGGGAAUAUUGCACAAUGGGCGGAAGCCUGAUGCAGCAACGCCGCGUGCGGGAUGACGGCCUUCGGGUUGUAAACCGCUUUCGCCUGUGACGAAGCGUGAGUGACGGUAAUGGGUAAAGAAGCACCGGCUAACUACGUGCCAGCCGCCGCCGUAAAAC
rnacentral:rRNA from 1 species